UGGGGAAUAUUGCACAAUGGGGGAAACCCUGAUGCAGCGACGCCGCGUGAACGAAGAAGGUUUUCGUAUCGUAAAGUUCUGUCCUAUGGGAAGAUAAUGACAGUACCAUAGAAGAAAGCUCCGGCUAAAUACGUGCCAGCAGCCGCGGUAAUACGUAUGGAGCGAGCGUUGUCCGGAAUUAUUGGGCGUAAAGGGUACGCAGGCGGUUUAAUAAGUCGAAUGUUAAAGAUCGGGGCUCAACCCCGUAAAGCAUUGGAAACUGAUAAACUUGAAUAGUGGAGAAGAAAGUGGAAUUCCUAGUGUAGUGGUGAAAUACGUAGAUAUUAGGAGGAAUACCAGUAGCGAAGGCGACUUUCUGGACACAAACUGACGCUGAGGUACGAAAGCGUGGGGAGCAAACAGG
rnacentral:rRNA from 1 species